AGAGUUUGAUCCUGGCUCAGAACGAACGCUGGCGGCGUGCCUAACACAUGCAAGUCGAACGAGAAAGUGGAGCAAUCCAUGAGUAAAGUGGCGACCGGGUGAGUAACACGUGACUAACCUACCUUUCAGUGGGGAAUAACCUCGGGAAACCGGGGCUAAUACCGCAUAAUGUCCUCGGACCAAAGGAGCAAUUCGCUGGAAGAGGGGGUCGCGGCCGAUUAGCUAGUUGGCGGGGUAACGGCCCACCAAGGCAAUGAUCGGUAGCCGGCCUGAGAGGGCGCACGGCCACACUGGAACUGAAACACGGUCCAGACUCCUACGGGAGGCAGCAGUGGGGAAUUUUGCGCAAUGGGGGAAACCCUGACGCAGCAACGCCGCGUGGAGGAUGAAGCCCCUUGGGGUGUAAACUCCUUUCGAUCGGGACGAUUAUGACGGUACCGG
rnacentral:rRNA from 1 species